CCUACGGGAGGCAGCAGUGAGGAAUAUUGGUCAAUGGACGAGAGUCUGAACCAGACAAGUAGCGUGAAGGAUGACUGCCCUAUGGGUUGUAAACUUCUUUUAUAUGGGAAUAAAAUGUUCCACGUGUGGGAUUUUGUAUGUACCAUAUGAAUAAGGAUCGGCGAACUCCGUGCCAGCAGCCGCGGUAAUACGGAGGAUCCGAGCGUUAUACGGAUUUAUUGGGUUUAAAGGGAGCGUAGGUGGAUUGUUAAGUCAGUUGUGAAAGUUUGCGGCUCAACCGUAAAAUUGCAGUUGAAACUGGCAGUCUUGAGUACAGUAGAGGUGGGCGGAAUUCGUGGUGUAGCGGUGAAAUGCUUAGAUAUCACGAAGAACUCCGAUUGCGAAGGCAGUUCACUGGACUGCAACUGACACUGAGGCUCGAAAGUGUGGGUAUCAAACAGGAUUAGAUACCCUGGUAGUC
rnacentral:rRNA from 1 species